rnacentral:rRNA from 1 species
AGUGAACGCUGGCGGUAGGCCUAACACAUGCAAGUCGAACGGCGGCACAGUAAGAGCUUGCUCUUACGGGUGGCGAGUGGCGGACGGGUGAGGAAUACAUCGGAAUCUACUUUUUCGUGGGGGAUAACGUAGGGAAACUUACGCUAAUACCGCAUACGACCUACGGGUGAAAGCAGGGGAUCUUCGGACCUUGCGCGAUUGAAUGAGCCGAUGUCGGAUUAGCUAGUUGGCGGGGUAAAGGCCCACCAAGGCGACGAUCCGUAGCUGGUCUGAGAGGAUGAUCAGCCACACUGGAACUGAGACACGGUCCAGACUCCUACGGGAGGCAGCAGUGGGGAAUAUUGGACAAUGGGCGCAAGCCUGAUCCAGCCAUACCGCGUGGGUGAAGAAGGCCUUCGGGUUGUAAAGCCCUUUUGUUGGGAAAGAAAAGCAGCAGGUUAAUACCCCGCUGUUCUGACGGUACCCAAAGAAUAGGCACCGGCUAACUUCG